GACGAACGCUGGCGGCGUGCUUAACACAUGCAAGUCGAACGAUGAACCCGGAGCUUGCUCUGUGGGGUGAGUGGCGAGCGGGUGAGUAACACGUGAGCAACCUCCCCUGGACUCGGGGAUAAGCGGUAGAAACGACUUCUAAUACCGGCUAGGACCUUGGGUCGCCUGAUCUGGGGUGGAAAUUUUUUUCGGUCUGGGCUGGACUCGCGGGCUCUAAGCUUGUUGGUGAGGGAUUGGCUCACCAAGGCGUCGAGGGGGAGCCGGCCUGAGAGGGUGACGGGACACGCUGGGACUGCGUAAGGGACGAGACUGCGACGGAAGGUAGACGCGGGGGAUAUUGCAGAAUGAGCGAAGGCGCGUGGGAGCAACGCGGCGUGGGGGAGGACGGCCUUCGGGUUGUAAAAGGAUUUUAGUAGGGAAGAAGGGCUUCGGCUUGACGGUACCUGCAGAAAAAGGACCGGCUAACUACGUG
rnacentral:rRNA from 1 species